rnacentral:rRNA from 1 species
GAUGAACGCUAGCGGGAGGCCUAACACAUGCAAGUCGAACGGGAAGGGUAGCAAUACCCCGAGAGUGGCGCACGGGUGAGUAACGCGUAUGCAACCUGCCUUUAACAGAGGGAUAGCCCAUAGAAAUGUGGAUUAAUACCUCAUAGUUCCCGGAUGCCGCAUGGCAACCGGGAUAAAGCUCCGGCGGUUAAAGAUGGGCAUGCGUGACAUUAGCUAGUUGGUAAGGUAACGGCUUACCAAGGCAACGAUGUCUAGGGGUUCUGAGAGGAUGAUCCCCCACACUGGUACUGAGACACGGACCAGACUCCUACGGGAGGCAGCAGUGAGGAAGAUUGGUCAAGGGGCGCAAGCCUGAAGCAGCCAUCCCGCGUGCAGGAUGAAGGCACUACGGGUUGUAAACUGCUUUUGUACACCAAGAAAAAACCCCACGUGUGGGGAUCUGACGGUAGUGUAUGAAUAAGCAUCGGCUAACUCCGUGCCAGCAGCCGCCGUAA